GCAGAAUUCUCCAGGCCUGAAAUGAAAGCACAGGUGAGCCUCCUGUGGCCGUGCGGGUACCCACCCCCGCCUCGGGGCCCGAGGGGGACGCACAGGGGACUGCCUCACGGCCAGGUGCUCCAGCCCGCUCAGGAUCUGCAUGGCUGUCGCGAAGUUUCUCUGCUCAUAGCAAGAUUUUGCAAUCAGCAAAAAUUUGGACAGCAAGUUCACCUGCAGCUGCAAUAAGAAAAUGACACAUUCAACGUCUUCUGGUUUAAGAUGAACAAAGGGAAUAUUUGAGAACCUGUUAAAAUCACCCAUCUCCAAGACACAAGAGCGUGCACUGCAUCACGUGUGUGGAAAGGAAGCGGCUGUGUGGACGCAGGGCCCCUGUGCAGCUGAAGGCGCCUCAUAUGAUCCUGGGCUCACCCUGACUGCGGCCCCAGCUCUCCUGCCUGAGAGCCUUGAGAGGAGCUUGAGAAGUGUUUACCGGAUACACUUUCUACGCUGACGUCUCAGUCUGUUUCUUCAUCGGUUUAAGUAGAUGCAAAGUAUGUAAUUUUUAGAUAAAACUAUUUCGCCACA